rnacentral:rRNA from 1 species
GUAGGGAAUAUUGGACAAUGGGCGAAAGCCUGAUCCAGCCAUGCCGCGUGAUAGAUGAAGGCCCUCUGGGUUGUAAAUAUCUUUUAUCUGGGAAGAAACUCCUCUAUUCUUAGAGGCCUGACGGUACCAGAGGAAUAAGCACCGGCUAACUCCGUGCCAGCAGCCGCGGUAAUACGGAGGGUGCAAGCGUUAUCCGGAUUCACUGGGUUUAAAGGGUGCGUAGGCGGGUUGAUAAGUCAGUGGUGAAAGCUCCGGGCUUAACUUGGAAACUGCCAUUGCUACUGUCAGUCUUGAAUGUCGUAGAGGUAAGCGGAAUGUUGCAUGUAGCGGUGAAAUGCUUAGAUAUGUUACAGAACACCAAUUGCGAAGGCAGCUUACUAUGCGAUAAUUGACGCUGAGGCACGAAAGCGUGGGGAGCAAACAGGAUUAGAUACCCCGGUAGUCC